GCGUUCACUUGUCACGCUGAAGACCCGGGUUCGAUUCCCCACAUGGGAACGAUGUGUGAAGCCCAUUUCUGGUGUUCCCCGCCGUGAUAGUGCUGCAAUAUUGCUCAGAGCGGCGUUAAACGAAAGUCACUCACUGAUGCAAGCUGUGAAAAUG